rnacentral:tRNA from 1 species
GCAUUAGUGGUUCAGUGGUAGAAUUCCCGUCUUCUAUGCUGGAGAUCCAGGUUCGAUUCCAGGACAAUGUA